GUGGGGAAUAUUGGACAAUGGGCGAAAGCCUGAUCCAGCCAUGCCGCGUGUGUGAAGAAGGUCUUCGGAUUGUAAAGCACUUUAAGUUGGGAGGAAGGGCAGUAAGUUAAUACCUUGCUGCUUUGACGUUACCGACAGAAUAAGCACCGGCUAACUUCGUGCCAGUAGCCGCGGUAAUACGAAGGGUGCAAGCGUUAAUCGGAAUUACUGGGCGUAAAGCGCGCGUAGGUGGUUCGUUAAGUUGGAUGUGAAAGCCCCGGGCUCAACCUGGGAACUGCAUCCAAAACUGGCGAGCUAGAGUACGGUAGAGGGUGGUGGAAUUUCCUGUGUAGCGGUGAAAUGCGUAGAUAUAGGAAGGAACACCAGUGGCGAAGGCGACCACCUGGACUGAUACUGACACUGAGGUGCGAAAGCGUGGGGAGCAAACAGGAUUAGAAACCCCAGUAGUCC
rnacentral:rRNA from 1 species